rnacentral:lncRNA from 1 species
CUGUGCUUCUAUGAAAGGGCGCUGCUCAGCAUCUGCUCAGGUAGCCUCAGGCUUUUCCUUCCAGAGCCCUCCUGAGUCCCCAGAAGAGGCAUGACCCCACCACAGGUGUCUGUGUGGACGUCCCUGGAGCCCACCCCUUGCCAGCAAUGGGACGCGGCUCUCUCUCUGCGGCUCGGGUGCUCUCCACGGCUUGUUUGGAAAUGAUGAGAGGCAGGAUUCCGUCAGCAGGAAACAGGCCGGCUGGAUCUCCGGAGAGUGUGUCUGUCCCAGGGAGAGCGGAGGGAUGAUGAAAUGUGCCUGCACAGAGAUUGAUGUACCAGGAUGUUCGUCACAGUGUUAUUUAUAAUCUCGAAAAGGGGCGCCAAAGCACAUGUCCAGUGGGAGAGGAAGGAUGAGAAAAGACCGGAGGGAGCUGGUGUUCACAGCUGAUGUGAGCGCUGCGGCUUCUGGAGCCAGAACCAAAGAGGAGCCAUUGGAGACACGUGAAGGCGGCCGCGUUCCCAGCCCCGCAGGCCGGUGCGGAUUUGAGCCAAGGGUCUGGCAGAUGGACUCUUCCUCCGUGAGAGGGGAAGAGGGAACAGCUGCCCGAGGGGAAAACCCUGGUCCCCAACCUCCACAGGCAUGGCCGGCACUCUGUCCCGGCUCCCUGUGGUGCAAGCUCAGUCAUUCAUCAUCUCCGGGCCUCCGGAUUAUUCCAGGGCUGAUUAAAUUAGCGAAUGCAAUCACAAUCUGAAGCGAGUUAAUUGAGAGAAUUUAUUUGGGCCUGACAGUUUUAUGCAUGUUUGAUUAAGUAUUAUAAGGUUUGUUUUUGAUUUUGCAUAAUUUAACUUUAAAUCCUGCACUGGGGGGCCCAUCAACCAUUAACGACCAAAAUAAACCUCUUUUAAGAUGCAUCUAUUUAUGAUUUAUUUCUGAAUGCAAUAUCUUCCAGAUUUUUUUUGGUGCUGUUGCCAAAGUGACAAAUAUGUUAAAAGUAACAUUUUGAGCCA